CUUGUAAUACAUUUUACAUCAUCAUCUGCUGCUUGGUUUGAUGUUCCCAUAACCCAGACUGUCAGGUAUUCUACAAUCUUAUUCCUAAAUUUCAUCUCUUGGCAAAAUAAGAGGUCAUCUCUCCUUGCCAUCGUUACUUCAACCAACUGACACAGUUUCGUUUUUAUUUGAAUUGCAUGGACCAUAUUCCCAAGCACACGAACAUACCUGACCAGAUAUAACAUCAUUGGUUCAAUGCUAGCUUGCCCUAGAUGUUCAGAGCUGCCUUCAGUAUGAUUAUCUAGCAAGUUCUUCAUUAUAGCUAUGGUUUGCUCUACAAAUUGAGUGUUGGUAUCCGUCAAUAAAAGUUGCAGGCUAUCGUGUGUUAACCUGUACUUCUGCCGCAGAGUUUGGAGAAAGCGGCAGCAGAUUGUGCUGCCGCAGGCUGGAGCCUGGAACCUGGAGCCCUGGAGCCUUGAAUGGUGUGUGGUGGCAAUGGAGAGAGGCAGCUGGCAGUGACAGCUGCUCCGUGCUUGGCUACAGGAAGGAAAGAAGGAGAAAGCACCUACCAUAGGCUGGAGGCUAGAGCCUGCAGGACUGCGGCUGGCCUCGCUGGCUCGCCUCCCUGGCUGGCCUCGCUGUGGUUGGUGGCAGCGACGGAUACUGCAGCUGGCCAGAGUGUAGAAAGGCAAUGGGGUAGGCGCAGUCCUGGUGGGCCCAGCGGUUCCUGUGGAUUGGAGCCAGGCAGUGUGAUGUUACCAGUCACCACUCCAGGUCCCAGUUCCUGGCCCGCUUGAGCCAAAAGGAGAGGCUGGACUUUGGAGGGUGGAUAUGAGUGCCUUCACUGAGACUGGCCCCUGCCACCCAGUGGCCAGGAUGACAAGUUAUUAUAUGCAAAUAACAUUUUCCCGCCAUCGUUAUGGAAAAUUCUAUAUUUUGUCAACGUUCAUUUUCUUCUCAAAAGCCUUUUGUUAUUAUUUCCAAAUGAAUAUUAUGUGUGUCUCAGACAACCACAGAAAGUUUUGUUUUUGUCACAUUCUACUGCUACUGUGUCAAUGGCAGCAUUUUGAUAUAGGUGGAGGGACGCUCACAUCAACCCCAUAAUUUGUGUCAGCUUCUCCUGAAGUUAUCAGAAGCAUACAAUUUAAGUAAAAACAGUAUCUUCGCUAUCCAAAUGAUGUUCCAAGGUAAAUCUCCUCAGAUCCCUUCCAGUACAUGUAUGCUCCAAGGCCUGCCCUAUGUAGAACUUUUGGAGCCAUCAACGUACUGCUUGAGGUUGCUUUGAACAAAAGGUAUUUGACAUAAGCUCUAUAAGAUCAGGGACUCUUUUUUAUUUUAUUCAUUGUUCUUUAUCUUCUAGAGCAAUAAUUUGCAAAAUGACUAUUUAUUGAAUAAACUAGGACGGAGGUGAAAAGGAAAGAACAGCUCAUCCUUCCAAGGGGAAGAGAGCAGUAUCCCAAAUCCAAAUUGAAGAAAAUAAACAUAUAUCUAUUCACCAGAAGAGAUAGAAGGGAGACAGGGCAGAAUUUCUGUGGUUCUUAC
rnacentral:lncRNA from 1 species